GCCUGGGUGGCUCAGUUGGUUAAGCUCCUGCCUUCAGCUCAGGUCAUGGUGUCGGGUUCCUGGGAUCAAGCCCCGCCUCAGGCU
rnacentral:tRNA from 1 species